GGCUCUUUGUCUCUCUCAAGUUGUUGUCACUCUGUGGGCCUUCAGAUUCCUCCUGGUUGGACUGGUUGCUUUUGAGUCUUUGCUGUUUUUCAUUCCAGCCCAACUCUGGCUGUAGGUGGAUGACUACAUGUUUUUCAGAGACCUCGGGGGAGUUGCUUCUUCCAGCCACAGAACUGACUUCAGCAUUAUCCAGGUCACCAAGACUAGACUCAGUAGAGGGCUUGGAUAACUGGGCUCUGCGCUGGAUUUCAGAGAUUGAGAGG